GCGUAUUAUAGGGCAGAACUCGACAUUACAAGAUUUAACAAAUUCUAUCCAUAACCAUUGGUAAUGACGAGGUCACCGGUUCAAAUCCGGUUAGUAGCUCCA
rnacentral:tRNA from 1 species